rnacentral:rRNA from 1 species
CCUACGGGAGGCAGCAGUGGGGAAUAUUGGACAAUGGGGGGAACCCUGAUCCAGCGACGCCGCGUGAGUGAAGAAGUAUUUAGGUAUGUAAAGCUCUAUCAGCAGGGAAGAAAAUGACGGUACCUGCCUAAGAAGCCCCGGCUAACUACGUGCCAGCAGCCGCGGUAAUACGUAGGGGGCAAGCGUUAUCCGGAUGUACUGGGUGUAAAGGGAGCGUAGACGGUGCAGCAAGUCUGAUGUGAAAGGUAGGGGCCCAACCCGGGUACGGCAUUGGAAACUGUAGAACUGGAGUACGGGAGAGGUAAGCGGAAUUCCUGGUGUAGCGGUGAAAUGCGUAGAUAUUAGGAGGAACACCAGUGGCGAAGGCGGCUUACUGGACUGUAACUGACGGUGAGGCUCGAAAGCGUGGGGAGCAAACAGGAUGAGAUACCCCGGUAGUU